UAAAAUAUAGCAUUUAUGUAAUUCACAUUAAUUUCUCAGCUUUGUUUUAGAGCAACAAACCUGAACAGAUAUUAAUUUGUCUGUUGAGGACGGUCCAGUCAGAAGGAGUCAAAUUCAAGUUGGUAUUCUUCAGUGACCUGCAGGAACAUUAAACAUCUACCAGGCAGUCAGAGAGCAGUGUUCAGCUGCCCAGCAGUACAGCACCACAUUGACUACCCAGCCACUAUCCUCAGAGAUCUCUGAAGCAUUGGGCAGCUCUUUCAGCUCUCAGGAGAGUACAGUUUGACAAGGUGCUGGAGCUCUGUGGCAUAGCCUGUAAUUGGGCAGCGCUGGUGAGUCUUCACAUAAUUAUACACACAACGGUAGCAAAACACAAAGCCAGACGUGGAGAGGGCUGUGGCAUUGACUCGGACUUUGCGGCACAGAGGGCACACUGUCUUCAAUUUGGGUAGGAGAGCUGAGUCCACCCCGUGGUCGAGAUGCACAGGGGGUGGAGGAGUAGGGAGCGCUGUCAGAGAUUUGAUAGUUUCUUGGUUUUCAGAGGAGUACCACCAGUCCAGGAACUGGAGGAAGAACACACACACAGACAGGCCGGUGGACAGCGAGAAGGCGAUGCCACCCAAAGCUUUCCUCACUGCUGACUGCACUUGUGUUUUAAUGCUGCAGCAGGGAGAGAAGAUACAGAGAAAUAAUUAGUACUGUGCAUUGGCCCAUCUGCAAACUGACAAAGAGUUGUGGAGAAAAGCACUGCUUUAUACAGCUUAACACUAAGCUGUGACAUCAGCACGCUUCAGGUCACGUGCUGACUAAAUUGGAAGAGUUUGGAUUGAAGGGACUGGGACCACAGAUCAUUUCACUCAUGGAUCAUC
rnacentral:lncRNA from 1 species